UACGUAGGGGGCUAGCGUUGUCCGGAAUCAUUGGGCGUAAAGAGCGCGUAGGCGGCCAGAUAAGUCCGGUGUGAAAGUCACAAGGCUCAACCUGUGAAUGCCGCUGGAAACUGUCUGGCUUGAGGCCGGGAGGGGGUAGCGGAAUUCCCAGUGUAGCGGUGAAAUGCGUAGAUACUGGGAGGAACACCAGUGGCGAAGGCGGCUACCUGGACCGGUUCUGACGCUGAGGCGCGAAAAGCGUGGGUAGCAAACAGG
rnacentral:rRNA from 1 species